CCCUUAGACGUUCUGGGCCGCACGCGCGCCACACUGACCGGUGCAACAAGCAUCCGUCCUUGGCCGACAGGCCCGGGCAAUCUUUGAACGCCGGUCGUGAUGGGGAUAGACUUUUGCAAUUUUUGGUCUUCAACGAGGAAUUCCUAGUAAACGCAAGUCAUCAACUUGCAUUGAUUACGUCCCUGCCCUUUGUACACACCGCCCGUCGCACCUACCGAUUGAAUGGUCCGGUGAAGCCUCCGGAUUGGCGCGCACCUCGGUGCCGCCGAGAAGUUGGCUAAACCUUACCAUUUAGAGGAAGGUGAAGUCGUAACA
rnacentral:rRNA from 1 species